UACAGAGGGUGCAAGCGUUGUUCGGAAUUAUUGGGCGUAAAGCGCGUGUAGGCGGCUUUGCAAGUCGGGUGUGAAAGCCCCGGGCUCAACCUGGGAACUGCAUUUGAGACUGCUCUGCUCGGGUGCGGAAGAGGGAAGCGGAAUUUCCGGUGUAGCGGUGAAAUGCGUAGAUAUCGGAAGGAACACCAGUGGCGAAAAGCGGCUUCCUGGUCCGACACCGACGUUCAGGCACGAAAGCGUGGGGAGCAAACAGGG
rnacentral:rRNA from 1 species